rnacentral:rRNA from 1 species
UACGUAGGGUGCAAGCGUUUGUCCGGAAUUAUUGGGCGUAAAGAGCUCGUAGGCGGUUCGUCGCGUCGGCUGUGAAAUCCCGAGGCUCAACCUCGGGUCUGCAGUCGAUACGGGCGGACUGGAGUUCGGCAGGGGAGACUGGAAUUCCUGGUGUAGCGGUGAAAAUGCGCAGAUAUCAGGAGGAACACCGGUGGCGAAGGCGG